rnacentral:rRNA from 1 species
CAGUAGCGUAUAUUAAAGUUGUUGCAGUUAAAAUGCUCGUAGUUGAAGUUCGGAUGCAGCAGAGCUUGGAAACGCUGUUAUGGUGCUUCCGUUGCUUUUGCUUGUCCACAGUGCGUUGCAAGUACGUAUGUGCUUGUGCGUGCAUUUUACUUUGAGAAACAUAGGGUGUUCCACGCAUGUUACGGCAUGAAUAUUCCAGCAUGGGAUAAUCUGGUACGACUUCCAAUCUGCCAUUUUGGUUCGUAGGUUGGAAGUAAUGAUUAAUAGGGACUGUCGGGGGCAUUGGUAUUUGACUGUCAGAGGUGAAAUUCUUAGAUUCGUUGAGGACCAACCACUGCGAAAGCAUUUGUCAAGGAUGUCUCCGUUAA